CUCCAAAGGCGAUAUUUCGUUUGGAUCUGGUUCCUUCGCUUUGUAAUAUUCUGGUUGUUUCGGAGGUGCUGCCUCGUUCGUUUCAGGUGCGGUUGGUCCUCCUGUUGCCGCUGUAGACAAGAUGAUCAAGUAUAUAAUAAGGAGAACAAGGCCCUGUGUACGAUAAACGAUCCUCUUGCAACGAUCUGUAACUAACGAGAGCGCUUUCUUCCGCGGGUUCGUCGUCUUUUGGUAGAAAAGGUAUAUUGUAAGAUUUCGCCCAUCGUUCCAAUCUAGUGUUGAAAGACAACGCCACGCAAUACACACCGUACAUAAUCAACAUGAACAAGGAUUCCAUCCUGAAAGAGAAAAUUUAGUACACGAUAUUACGACGAUAUAAAAAAAAAAUAAAUUUUGAUAAAAAUGUUGAAAUUCUCUCACCAUGAUAUGGAUUCGUUGUAGAUCGUACCGAGCAUUACCAAUAUCGAUACCGCGUAAAAGAAACAAUCCCGGCAAAGGGGCCACCAAUUCAAUUUUGACACUGUUGUCGUGCAAAGCCCGCAAACCGAUAUCACGAACAUUAUAUUGAAUACUGCGCUUCCAAUCACACCGCUUAUCUGCAACAGCAAUGUUCGUUAUAAUUUCCUACCAUGUUCCAUAUAAUAAUUAAAUUUGAAAUUUAACCAGAUAUCAGAUAUUAUUCCAUAUGAUCAACGAAAUACUUACUCCAAUAUCAUCUUUGGCAAAGAAAACGCCGAUUACCACAGUUGCCAAUUCCGGGGCUGAGGAACCCGCAGCCAUGAAAGUUGCUCCAGCAACAUCGGGAGACAAUCGUAGCUCUGCGUGUAACAAAAUUUAACAUUUUUGUUAACAACAAAGAAUAACAAUUAAAUUUUGAACGUAUAAAUUUCUCUCUUCGAAAGUUUUUUUUUCCUUUACCUUCGCAAAUUCGGUCCAAACUGGAGACAAAGUAAUCGUCGCAAACGAUGGCAAGGCCUAGAAAAGUGUAGAUCGCGGCUAAAAUGUGAAUGAUUAAUCCACCGUGUUUCCUAGCAUCCGGACCCAUUAAAGGCCGUGGAAAUUGUUCGAUCGCUGGUGGUGAACAGUUUUCUCUUCUCGGCCUCCAUGUUGCGCGUUCGUAUUUUACAGUGGUCGUUGAUGGAACCUAGAAUCUCGAAUAAGCAAUAUCUCUUAUUUACGUCCAAAAUGAAAAUCGGACGAGUUCCAAUGUGGUAUCCAUAUGGAAUUCGAUGAUAAAAAAAAAAAUAUCAGAGUCUCACCGUUGUGGUUCUAGGAACAUUCUUGGAUAAAAUCGUUGUGACUUCUUUCUUAGGGACUACCGGUUUUUCCACUAAUUCCUCCUUUGACUUUUCAUUCGCUUCCUUCGAUUUUUCUUCUUCCUUUAUCUUUUCUUCCUUGCCUUUCUCCUCUUGUUGUUGUUUCUCGCCCACUUCCUCCUCCUUGUUCCCCCCUUCAUUUUUCUCAUCCAUUUCCUUCGCUACAUUUUCUACCGGUGGAAGCUCCUUAAUAAUCGUUUCCUCAACCUCAACCGUGGUUGUAAACGACUCCAAGGUAGAUUCCACGGUCCAGUUUUCCUCGCGAUCCGUAGAACUGGGAUAAGUGGAAGUUAGCUCUUCAGGUAUUUUUGCACAAGUGAUGUACUGAACUAACACAUAUACGAUGAAGAGACCUAUGCGCAAAGGCCGUCUUUUGCGCCGCGAAUUACUUUGUAACUGAAUUCGCCUCAUUGUCUUCGACUGAAACAUAUUUCAUGUAAAUUUAAUGAAUGAUAUACGUGUCUUUUUCUUUUAUGUGUAAAUAUUAAAAA